GUGGCAGUCUGUUCCCAGCCGUGACAAUCACCUGGUGAGGGACCGCACUGCCGUGGCUAAGAGCCCCGGCUUUGGUUUCAGAGAAACCUGGCUUGAAAUCCUGGCUCUGACACUCAUUAGCUGUGUGGCUUGGGAAGAUUCCUGAAUCCGAUCUUGAAGAACUCUGAAGUCUAAGCUUUAGUCCCCCUAAUGUGGAAAAUUAUGCAAUUUCCCCAUGUGGAGGAUCAAAACUGUAACGAUCCAUGGACAUCCUUCCUUCCCAGAGCCCUAGCCAUUCUUACACAAUAUGUGGUCACUGUCACACAAGGGAGUUGGAGGCACCAUGCGAAACAUCCCUCAAGCACAUGUGGGUUGAGAAAAAGAUCCCUUAGGGAGAGAGUCCCUCUGCUAAGGGCAGCUCAGCCUUUAGCUUGGUUCUGGUUCUGGUGUCUGGAAGGUUCACCACCUCUCUGGGGCAGAGGUUGCAUCCGGGGGGCAGCUGUCUUCCCAAGCAGCUGGUUCUAUGACCUCAAACAAAGGUCCUGUGUGUUCUUUCGCAGGCGCCGCUGUGGCUGUAGCUUGGCAGAGGAGCGAUGCCGAAUGAUACGCUCCGGGUUUAGAUAACUAUUCCCCAACAGUCUGCUUUCGCCCCCCCACCCCAUGUCGGCCCUUCUGUAAUUACACUCUGUGGACUCGCGCUUCUCCAGAGUUCUCCAGGGGAGCCUGCCGACACUCGGCUCGCCUCGUAAGGAUUCCCGCGAGGUGGAAGGCAGUUUGAGCUGAUGUGGACACGCGGAGUCCAUGGAAACGGAUAGCAAGGCGCGCACACAGUCCAUGGAAAUGGAUAACAAGGCGCGCACACACGGAGUCCAUGGAAACGGAUAGCAAGGCGCGCGCACACGGAGUCCAUGGAAACGGAUAACAAGGCGCGCACUAGGAGCAGGGGUGUGGUCGUGUUGCUUUUCACUAUCUCUUCCCAUUUGCUGGCAUUUGCUCAUGAGACUCUAUUGAAAAUGUGGCCGCAUGGUCCAUCCUGGCAGUGCAGGCCAAGCAAGCCAAACAAGGCUAAAAGGGAAUCUAUUUUUCCCUCCUGAGAGACGCUAGACAGGCUUCCGUGUUUAGCCCAUGGUGACAUGUCUUAAAUAUUUUACAUUGCCUAGCUU